GUAUUCAAAUAGCCAUUUCUCGGCCUUCAUGGCCUCCUCCUGCCGCUGUCCCUGCAGUUCCUGCACCUGAACACAGAGAGGGGAAGAAUAAGGACUGCAGGGGUGGAAGCAGGGGCAGGGGCUGAGUACAGA
rnacentral:miRNA from 1 species